rnacentral:rRNA from 1 species
GCCAGAGGGUGCAAACGUUGUUCGGAAUUACUGGGCGUAAAGCGUGUGUAGGCGGCCGUGACAGUCGGAUGUGAAAGCCCUGGGCUCAACUCAGGAAGUGCACCCGAUACUACGUGGCUCGAGUACCGGAGAGGUUGGUGGAAUUCUCGGUGUAGAGGUGAAAUUCGUAGAUAUCGAGAGGAACACCUGUGGCGAAGGCGGCCAACUGGACGAGUACUGACGCUGAGACACGAAAGCGUGGGGAGCAAACAGG